AUUUCUGUUGUUUGAUAAGAAUUCCUAUGGGUGGAAUUGCUGAGUCAGGGACUCCCUCAGGAGGAUUAUCAAUGGAGCACUAAGGAGAAUGCAAUAGACUCUUCCUGAGGAGACCAAGGGCCAGAAGGGACCUGUGGAAUCAUCUAAGCCCUGGCUUUGGAGAUGGGGAAACCAAGGCCCCCAAAGACUCAGAGCACUCACUUCAAUAAUCUUUAACUGAACCUCAGAAGUGUCUCAUACACAGUGAUUCAGCCACUUCAGGGCACAGUUGAACAUAUCUUAAAUUUUGACACCUAGUACAAUUGGCUGCACAGCGCGGCUUGUGGGAUCUUAGUUCCCUGACCAGGAAUCGAACCCGCGCCCCCUGCAGUGGAAGCACUGGAAGCCUGUAGUCUUAACCACUGGACCCCCAGGGAAGCCCCCACACCUAGUACAAUUCGUAUCCUCCUCACCCUGUGUACAAACUCGGAAAUUAAGAUCACUGAUCACAUCCCAGCCGAGUCAAGGCCAGGUGUGUGCUAGAGCUGGCUCCUACUGGCUCUCAAGCCUCUCUCUCCAAAGUAUUAUAAUUCUCUAUGGUCCACCAAAACACCCAUUCCCAAAUCCAUCAUAGCCCCGUCGGUACUACUCAAAGAGCCAGCAAAUGUUUGCCUGAAUGCUUGCUGUGUGCCAGGCCCCUGUCUGAGCACGUAUCACAGUGAGAUAGUUAUCAUUUCCAUCAUACAGCUGAGGAAACUGAGACUCAGAGACUUUAUUUUUUUUUCUUCUCAUUUUUUAUUCAGUCAACAAUAUUUAAGAGGAAUCCAAGAUAUAAAAGGCACUUUGCAGGAUGCUACCAAGGUGAGUCAGUCAAGGACUCUGCUCUCAAAUUUCACAAGGUGAGAGAUAGAGAACAAUGAAACAAGAAGGAAAGGGAUGGGCAAAAUGUGGGAUGAGAAGGCAAAAGAUGGGGCUGUACUCCCAUGGGGCAUAGUCAGGGAACAAUUCCUGGAUGCAGUGACAUUGGAAGUAGCUGGAAAUGUGGCCCCAAGCUUUUCAGCCCUGAGUAGGUCCUGCUGGGUGGUAGGAGUGUUCUACUUUAUCAGAACCAGGGUUUAUCUUUUUUUUUCCAUUAUGGUAUAUUACAGAAUAUGGAAUAUAGUUCCCUGUGCUGUACAAUAGGACCUUGUUGUUUAUCCAUUCUAUGUACAAUAGUUUGCAUCUGCUAGUCCCAAACUCCCAGUCCAAUCCUCCCCCUUGACAAGGUCUAUUCUCUUUGGAGACUCAAAGACUUAAAAUGACGUUUUAACUACAGACUAAAGCCUUAGGUUGGUUUCCCCCAGAAGUUGACCAUAAGACAAGGAUUUGAGGACUUCCCUGGUGGCACAGUGGUUAAGAAUCUGCCUGCCAAUGCAGGGGACACAGGUUCAAUCCCUGGUCUGGGAAGAUCCCACAUGCCGCAGAGCAACUAAGCCUGUGUGCCACAACUACUGAAGCCCGUGUGCCUAGAGCCCGUGCUCUGCAACCAGAGAAGCCACUGCAAUGAGAAGCCCGCACACCACAACGAAGAGUCAUCCCCGCUCACCACAACUAGAGAAAGCAUGCAUGCAGCAAUGAAGACCCAAUGCAGCCAAAAAUAAAUAUAAAAUAAUAAAUAAAUUUAUUUAAAAAACAUAAAAG